GAUGAAGAACGUAGCGAAUUGCGAUAUGUAAUGUGAAUUGCAGAAUUCAGUGAAUCAUCGAAUCUUUGAACGCACAUUGCACCCUCUGGUAUUCCGGAGGGUAUGCCUGUUUGAGUGUCAUUAACAUGUCAACGCAGGCAAGUUUUCCAUGACUUGCCCUGCUGCUUGGAUGUUGAAGGCCUGCUGGCAACAACUAUUUGUCAGCUCCUUUCAAAUUCAUUAGCGGGAACUACGCAGAACUGGCUUCGGUUUGAUAAGAUUGAACUGCUGCCAAGGAUGCAACGGUGCUGUUCCAGCUUCUUAACUGUCCAGUGAACCGGACUGCCUCAUGAGGCAAAUAUUACCUAUGACAACUUGGCCUCAAAUCAGGUAGGAUUACCCGCUGAACUUAAGCAUAUCAAUAAGCGGAGGA
rnacentral:misc_RNA from 1 species